rnacentral:rRNA from 1 species
GACGGAAGGUGCAAGCGUUGCUCGGAAUCACUGGGCGUAAAGGGUGCGUCGGCGGCUUGGUAAGUUGGGUGUGAAAGCCCCGGGCUCAGCCCGGGAAGGGCACUCGAAACUGCUGAGCUGGAGUGCCGGAGGGGAGAGUGGAAUUCCUGGUGUAGCGGUGAAAUGCGCAGAUAUCAGGAAGAACACCUAUGGCGAAGGCAGCUCUCUGGGACGGUACUGACGCUGAGACGCGAAAGCGUGGGGAGCGAACAGG